rnacentral:rRNA from 1 species
UACGGGGGGGGCAAGCGUUGUUCGGAAUUACUGGGCGUAAAGGGCUCGUAGGCGGCCAACUAAGUCGGACGUGAAAUCCCCAGGCUCAACCUGGGAACUGCGUCCGAUACUGGAUGGCUUGAAUCCGGGAGAGGGAUGCAGAAUUCCAGGUGUAGCGGUGAAAUGCGUAGAUAUCUGGAGGAACACCGGUGGCGAAGGCGGCAUCCUGGACCGGUAUUGACGCUGAUGCGCGAAAAGCCCAGGGGGGAGCAAAACGGGG